rfam:Triticum aestivum genome assembly, contig: Triticum_aestivum_CS42_TGACv1_scaffold_307043_4AS
UUAAUACUCCCUCCGUUCGGAAUUACUUGUCGCAAAAAUGGAUGUAUCUAGAUGUAUUUUAGUUCUAGAUACAUCCAUUUCCGAGACAAGUAAUUCCGAACGGAGGGACUAGUUG